rnacentral:tRNA from 1 species
UCGAUCGUCCCGGUCAGGAAAUAUUGGAGCGGACGGCUGUUCAGUUGGAGAACGAUUCUGUGGUCGUUUGUCUU